rnacentral:rRNA from 1 species
AAACGGCCGCGUUAGCGUGAGCGUGCUAAGGUAGCGUAAUAAAUAGCCUCUUAAUUGGAGGCCAGCGAAUGGCAAGACUAGGACAUCUGUCCCUGUAUAGAAAAACGGCUUUUCAUUUGGGUGAAAAGACCCACAUAAUAAAGGAAGACGAAAAGACCCCGNNGAGCUUUACCUUUUCCAGUAUCCACAUGCUCGAACAUGAGAGCAAAAGGUUUGAUUGGGGCAUCUUGGAACCAGUCAAACUUUUAACUUACUACAAUAAUUAUANAAANCUUAGUAAGGACCAAAAAGAAGUUACCCCGGGGAUAACAGCGUUAUCCAACUUGAGAGUACACAUCGAAAGCUGGGUUUGCGACCUCGNUGUUGGCUUAAGG